AUCCGGCUGACGAGUCCCAGAUAGGACGAUACGUACGUCCUGGAU
rfam:Schistosoma rodhaini strain Burundi genome assembly, scaffold: SROB_scaffold0000004